rnacentral:rRNA from 1 species
UGAAUACGAGACGCUAAGGCGUCGAAGUAGUGUAUGUCAUACUUCCAAGAAAAGCUUGCACUGUCAUAGAUAAAAAACGCCUGUACCAUAACCGACACAGGUGGGUAGGUAGAGUAUACUAAGGGGCGCGAGAUAACUCUCUCUAAGGAACUCGGCAAAAUAACUCCGUAACUUCGGGAGAAGGAGUGCCUUAUUCGUAAGGUUGCAAUAACAAGAUCCAAGCAACUGUUUAUCAAAAGCACAGGUCUCCGCUAAGUCGUAAGACGAUGUAUGGGGGCUGACGCCUGCCCAGUGCCAGAAGGUUAAAGAAGUUGGUUAGCAAUUGCGAAGCUGAUAACUGAAGCCCUGGUGAACGGCGGCCGUAACUAUAACGGUCCUAAGGUAGCGAAAUUCCUUGUCGGGUAAGUUCCGACCCGCACGGAAGGCGUAAUGAUUUGGAUACUGUCUCGGAGAGGGGCUCGGUGAAAUAGACUUGUCUGUGAAGAUGCGGACUACCUGCACCAGGACAGAAAGACCCUAUGAAGCUUUACUGUAACUUGAAAUUGAAAUUGGACUUUAUCCGCGCAGUAUAGGUGGGAGGCGUUGAUUAUAAUCUUGUGGGAUUAUUGGAGCCAUCAGUGAGAUACCACUCUUGUAAUGUUAGAUUUCUAACUUUGAAUCAUUAUCUGGUCAAAGAACAGUUUCAGGCGGGCAGUUUGACUGGGGCGGUCGCCUCCUAAACGGUAACGGAGGCGUACAAAGGUUUCCUCUGAACGGUUAGAAAUCGUAUCUAGAGUGUAAAGGCAUAAGGAAGCUUGACUGUGAGACCUACAAGUCGAGCAGGGACGAAAGUCGGUCUUAGUGAUCUGACGGUACUGAGUGGAAAGGCCGUCACUCAACGGAUAAAAGUUACUCUAAGGAUAACAGGCUGAUCUCCCCCAAGAGUUCACAUCGACGGGGAGGUUUGGCACCUCGAUGUCGGCUCAUCGCAUCCUGGGGCGGUAGUACGUCCCAAGGGUUGGGCUGUUCGCCCAUGAAAGCGGUACGCGAGCUGGGUUCGGAACGUCGUGAGACAGUUCGGUCCAUAUCCGGUGUAGGCGUUAGAAUAUUGAGAGGAGCCUUCUUUAGUACGAGAGGACCGAGAAGGACAUACCUCUGGUGUACCAGUUAUCGUGCCAACGGUAAACGCUGGGUAGCUAUGUAUGGAGUGGAUAACCGCUGAAAGCAUCUAAGUGGGAAGCCCACCUCAAGAUAAGUAUUCUCAU